rnacentral:rRNA from 1 species
CGUGUAGGCGGUCAGGUAAGUGAGAUGUGAAACUGCCCCGGCUCACCCGGGGACCGGCAUCUCAUACUGCUUGGCUUGAGUACGGGAGAGGGUGUGGGAAUUCCUGGUGUAGCGGUGAAAUGCGUAGACAUCAGGAGGAACACCGGUGGCGAAGGCGCACACCUGGCCCGAUACUGACGCUGAGGCGCGAAAGCUAGGGAGCAAACG